GCACGUUUAGCUCAGUUGGUUAGAGCAUCUCGUUUACACCGAGAGGGCCGGGAGUUCGAGUCUCUCAACGUGCA
rnacentral:tRNA from 1 species